UGCACUGUGGCUAAGUUGGUUAAAGUGCCAAUCUAGAACGCAAUAUAGUAAGCAGGAGGUCCUGGGCUCAAAUCCCAGCAGUGCUU
rnacentral:tRNA from 1 species